UACGAAGGGGGCUAGCGUUGCUCGGAAUCACUGGGCGUAAAGCGCACGUAGGCGGAUCUUUAAGUCAGGGGUGAAAUCCUGGAGCUCAACUCCAGAACUGCCUUUGAUACUGAGGAUCUUGAGUUCGGGAGAGGUGAGUGGAACUGCGAGUGUAGAGGUGAAAUUCGUAGAUAUUCGCAAGAACACCAGUGGCGAAGGCGGCUCACUGGCCCGAUACUGACGCUGAGGCACGAAAGCGUGGGGAGCAACAGG
rnacentral:rRNA from 1 species